GACGAACGCUGGCGGCGUGCUUAACACAUGCAAGUCGAACGGAAAGGCCCUGCUUUUGUGGGGUGCUCGAGUGGCGAACGGGUGAGUAACACGUGAGUAACCUGCCCUUGACUUUGGGAUAACUUCAGGAAACUGGGGCUAAUACCGGAUAGGAGCUCCUGCUGCAUGGUGGGGGUUGGAAAGUUUCGGCGGUUGGGGAUGGACUCGCGGCUUAUCAGCUUGUUGGUGGGGUAGUGGCUUACCAAGGCUUUGACGGGUAGCCGGCCUGAGAGGGUGACCGGCCAAAUGGGGACUGAGAUAGGGCCCGGACCCAGCGGGGGGGCAGCGGGGGGAAAUUGUGCACAAGGGGGGGAGGCCUGAUGCAGCACCGCCGGGGGGGGGAGGGCGGCUUUCGGUUUGAAAACCGGUUCCGCCUGUGACGAGGGUGGGGGGACGGUAAUGGGUAAAGAAGCCCCGGCAAACUACGUG
rnacentral:rRNA from 1 species